ACUUAAAUUUAUUGAAUAGGUUGUUUUUAGGGGAAUAGAUAAGGAAAGGGCUUUGUCUAGCUUCACUUUCUAGAAGUUGUGCUCCAAAUUCCAACCCAACUCAUUGCAAAUGAAUUAGCAAGAUUUUCCAAUCUAUGAUAUAUAUUUUACAUUUAUCCCUUGCAUUUUAUACUUAUUGAUCUAAGACAUUACAGUCUUGCUUUGAAAAGCUAUAUAGCACUAUCCAAUUUUUCAUUAUUCUAUAUAGAACAUUUUUUGUGAUGCUGCUGCACUGUAAACAACUCAAAAAUCUCAGCGGCUUAAAACCCUAUUUCUUACUAUGGGCUUGUAGGUCAGUUGUGGCACUGCUGGGUUCUGCUGGGCUCAGAUGGGGUCAGCUGGGCUUGGAUCCAGGCUGCAUGUUGUACUCGGGUGUGCUCAAUGUUUCUUCUCAUUCCAGGACUAGUGACUCAUGGCAGGUGACAAAGGUGUAAGCAGCAAGAAAAAACAUUCAAGUUUAUUCAGAGCUUCUGCUGCAUCAAAUUCAUUAACAUCCCAUUAACCAAAGCAAGUCACAUGGCUCAACUCAAAGUUAGCAGGAUGAGGAUGGAGAUUCCUGUACUAUUCUGGGAGGCCUGCAGAGUUAUGACAGAACAGAUUUAGAUGGAAUGCUAUUACAGAGAGGAGGUUGAAAAAUAGAACGAUAAUCUAUUUUGCCACAAUUGUAAAAUAAUGAAAUAUUUUCAUUGAAUAAUGAAAGCAACAAUGGUGACAGUAAUGAUAAUGACAGUACAGGCAAGUUUUCUUUCCCCUAGUUUUUAACAUUUAGCUAUAUUUACCCUGAGAUUUUUAUCCUUAAUGUUAAUGACCUAAUACAUUGGUCUUAUGGGAAUGCUUUAUUUUAUCCCAUGAAUAAUUAAAGAACAUUUGGGGGAAGAAAGAACUUUCUCCCAAGCAAAAAGAGAAGUGCUUAGGAACUGAUGUGGCACUGUCAAAGGACAUAGGACCUUGAGAGCACUUUGAGGAUAUGACUUUCAACCUAACACCUUGCCUGGCUUCAAUCUUAUUCUUGAGUAUUAGGGAAAGGAGACUGUGAUGUCAAACAUAUACAUUUAGAAUGUCCUUAAAAAAUAAAAAUAAAAACAGGAGACUAGAGUACUUUGUUGCUUAGGUAAAAGGAGUACGUCAUAUCUUGGAUGAAGAUUUCUUGUUCCCACUUUGCAGGCCUCCCCAAAGCCCAGCAGAUUGAGAAUGAAACAAGAACAUUCACUAUGUGAGCUAGAAACAGGAGAGGAUAUUCUGGCUCAUCAAGCAUGGAUAGCAGCAGGAAAUCUCCAGUUUUGGUCUGUGGGGACUUGGUGAGACAGACCAAAGUAGGAGGAAAAUGGUAGACCCAUGGCACAAAAUUGAGUGUCGUCUUAUGCUGAAGAUGUGAUGAACAAAAAAAGGAAAGAAGAAAAGAAGGGAACACAGAUAGCAAGCAGCAAGUGAAUGGAAUACUGCACAUCUACCUAGCCAGCAAGGGGCGCUCUCAGGAGCCUAUACCAGGACCCCUGAGUCCCAGCCUGCAGUGUCACAUACUGCCCCACUCCGCUGCCAACGUUACUGCUGCAGUAAUCCUUUACCCUCUUCCUCCUGUCUCUGUUAUCCACUCACCUUACUUCUAUUCAUUCAAGUUCAUAAGCCUGCAUUUUGGGUAAGAAAAUCUAAUGCUUUUGAGAUGUCUGCUCAGCUUGAUAUUGAAUGACUUAAAUGCACAAUGUCCUUUCCCCAGCCCAGGAGUGGACUCAGGCUCCUCGUUCCUCGUUUUCAAUAGAACUCCUCAUUCCUUCCAGGAAGUGUAAGGUCUGGGAGUUAGGGAAAAGGGAUGCUUAAAGACACCCAAUACUAACUGGUCUCAUGGCCAAAAAGAGAUACAGUUUCACUCCCUGCCUCUGCAAAAUGACUUUGUGUAAGAAAAUGACAAAUAGCAGCCCUUUGUAUUGUAGCAUAAAAAGACGCAAGACAUUUACAUCAAAAUGUUAGUAACUUAGCUUGUUUCAAUAAAUGUUAAGUAGAAGUAUAUUUAUUCAGGUAUUUUCUCCCCUCAUAUAUUUUGAAUCCAUAGUCAAAUGUUUCCCUUUAUAUUCAGACUCUCAUACCUUUUUCCAUUUGGAAUCACGUCAAUCAGUUUUACAGCU